rnacentral:rRNA from 1 species
CCGCGUGGGUGAUGAAGGUCUCCGGAUUGUAAAGCCCUGUUUUCUGGGACGAUAAUGACGGUACCAGAGGAGGAAGCCACGGCUAACUACGUGCCAGCAGCCGCGGUAAUACGUAGGUGGCGAGCGUUGUCCGGAUUUACUGGGCGUAAAGGGUGCGUAGGCGGAUGUUUAAGUGGGAUGUGAAAUCCCCGGGCUUAACCUGGGGGCUGCAUUCCAAACUGGAUAUCUAGAGUGCAGGAGAGGAAAGCGGAAUUCCUAGUGUAGCGGUGAAAUGCGUAGAGAUUAGGAAGAACACCAGUGGCGAAGGCGGCUUUCUGGACUGUAACUGACGCUGAGGCACGAAAGCGUGGGUAGCAAACAGGAUUAGAUACCCUGGUAGUC